rnacentral:lncRNA from 1 species
GCUGAUGUCGUGCAUAGACUGAAGGAAAAAGAGCUGUUGGAGUUUUAAUGCUUGAGACUCCAAAUAAGGCAGUUUGGUGAUAAUGGGGAUCUUCUUAUUCCUAUGUGGGCUGGUGCAUGGGAUGAAGUUGUAGAACUCUUCUGGCUCGUGUAUAAUGUCUCCUGGAUGUCUUGGUUUAGUAUGGAUGUCGUCUGGUUCUCCUGGUUGGAUUGGAAUUGCUUGGAAUGGAUCAAACCGAAAGAUUGUCCAAUCUUUCCAUAAAUAGCUCCGGUUUGAUUUAAG